rnacentral:rRNA from 1 species
AUGAAUGUUGAUGCCUCUUUUGAUCAUGAUUUGCUCAGGGGUAGAUUUGGGGCUGUUGUCAGAGAUGAUAAAGGAAGGUUCAUUGCUAGAGGAAACUGGAGAAUUGACUGGUGUGCUGAUGUAGUAGCAGUAGAAGCUUUGGCUCUAAGGUUCGGUGUAAUUAUUCCACAGAAGGCGGGUUGUAAUCGCCUUGUCGUCAACUCUGACAAUAUGGAAGUGAUUGACACAAUGAAGAAUGGAGGUCAAUCGGUAGGAACAUCGGAAGAAGUGCUUGAUGAUUGCUAUUUCAUAGCUUGUGAUUUUCCUCUCGUUAGGUUCGAACAUUGUAAUAGGGAAGCAAAUAAAGUCGCUUAUGAAGUAGCUAGGCUAGCGAAAUUUUCAAUCACUAGGGACUGGUUUGAGGACCCUGUAAAUGAAAUUGUACCUUUACUUAUUGACGAUGGAACUAUUAUUUCUAAUUAA